rnacentral:rRNA from 1 species
CCCUUAGAUGUUCUGGGCCGCACGCGCGCUACACUGAUGCAUGCAGCAAGUCUUUUCCUUGGCCGAGAGGCCUGGGCAAUCUUUGAAUAUGCAUCGUGAUGGGGAUAGACGAUUGCAAUUAUUCGUCUUCAACGAGGAAUUCCUAGUAAACGCAAGUCAUCAGCUUGCAUUGAUUACGUCCCUGCCCUUUGUACACACCGCCCGUCGCACCUACCGAUUGAAUGGUCCGGUGAAGGCUUCGGAGGCGGCUUUCUCAAUGUUUAUUCGGCGAGACUGCUGCCAAAGUUGAAUGAACCUUACCAUUUAGAGGAAGGUGAAGUCGUAACA